AUUCUACUCCCUCCGUCCCGAAUUACUUGUCUUAGAUUUGUCUAGAUACGGAUAUAUCCAACACUAAAACGUGUCUAGAUACAUUUGUAUCUAGAUGUAUCUAGACAAAUACAAGACAAGUAAUUUGGGACGGAGGUAAUACUAU
rfam:Hordeum vulgare subsp. vulgare, WGS project CAJW01000000 data, contig: morex_contig_5982